UACGUAGGGGGCUAGCGUUGUCCGGAAUUAUUGGGCGUAAAGAGCUCGUAGGCGGUUUGUCGCGUCUGCUGUGAAAACCCGAGGCUCAACCUCGGGCCUGCAGUGGGUACGGGCAGACUAGAGUGCGGUAGGGGAGAUUGGAAUUCCUGGUGUAGCGGUGGAAUGCGCAGAUAUCAGGAGGAACACCAAUAGCGAAGGCAGCUCGCUGGGACGUUACUGACACUGAGGCGCGAAAGCGUGGGGAGCGACAGG
rnacentral:rRNA from 1 species